AGAGUUUGAUCCUGGCUCAGAUUGAGCGCUGGCGGCAGGCCUAACACAUGCAAAGUCGAACGGUAACAGGAAGCAGCUUGCUGCUUCGCUGACGAGUGGCGGACGGGUGAGUAAUGUCUGGGAAACUGCCUGAUGGAGGGGGAUAACUACUGGAAACGGUAGCUAAUACCGCAUAACGUCGCAAGACCAAAGAGGGGGACCUUCGGGCCUCUUGCCAUCGGAUGUGCCCAGAUGGGAUUAGCUAGUAGGUGGGGUAACGGCUCACCUAGGCGACGAUCCCUAGCUGGUCUGAGAGGAUGACCAGCCACACUGGAACUGAGACACGGUCCAGACUCCUACGGGAGGCAGCAGUGGGGAAUAUUGCACAAUGGGCGCAAGCCUGAUGCAGCCAUGCCGCGUGUAUGAAGAAGGCCUUCGGGUUGUAAAGUACUUUCAGCGGGGAGGAAGGGAGUAAAGUUAAUACCUUUGCUCAUUGACGUUACCCGCAGAAGAAGCACCGGCUAACUCCGUGCCAGCAGCCGCGGUAAUACGGAGGGUGCAAGCGUUAAUCGGAAUUACUGGGCGUAAAGCGCACGCAGGCGGUUUGUUAAGUCAGAUGUGAAAUCCCCGGGCUCAACCUGGGAACUGCAUCUGAUACUGGCAAGCUUGAGUCUCGUAGAGGGGGGUAGAAUUCCAGGUGUAGCGGUGAAAUGCGUAGAGAUCUGGAGGAAUACCGGUGGCGAAGGCGGCCCCCUGGACGAAGACUGACGCUCAGGUGCGAAAGCGUGGGGAGCAAACAGGAUUAGAUACCCUGGUAGUCCACGCCGUAAACGAUGUCGACUUGGAGGUUGUGCCCUUGAGGCGUGGCUUCCGGAGCUAACGCGUAAGUUCGACCCCCUGGGGAGUACGGCCGCAAGGUUAAAUCUCAAAUGAAUUGACGGGGGCCCGCACAAGCGGUGGAGCAUGUGGUUUAAUUCGAUGCAACGCGAAGAACCUUACCUGGUCUUGACAUCCACGGAAGUUUUCAGAGAUGAGAAUGUGCCUUCGGGAACCGUGAGACAGGUGCUGCAUGGCUGUCGUCAGCUCGUGUUGUGAAAUGUUGGGUUAAGUCCCGCAACGAGCGCAACCCUUAUCCUUUGUUGCCAGCGGUCCGGCCGGGAACUCAAAGGAGACUGCCAGUGAUAAACUGGAGGAAGGUGGGGAUGACGUCAAGUCAUCAUGGCCCUUACGACCAGGGCUACACACGUGCUACAAUGGCGCAUACAAAGAGAAGCGACCUCGCGAGAGCAAGCGGACCUCAUAAAGUGCGUCGUAGUCCGGAUUGGAGUCUGCAACUCGACUCCAUGAAGUCGGAAUCGCUAGUAAUCGUGGAUCAGAAUGCCACGGUGAAUACGUUCCCGGGCCUUGCACUCACCGCCCGUCA
rnacentral:rRNA from 1 species